rnacentral:rRNA from 1 species
CACGUAGGGUGCGAGCGUUGUCCGGAAUUAUUGGGCGUAAAGAGCUCGUAGGCGGUGUGUCGCGUCGGCCGUGAAAACCUGCAGCUUAACUGUGGGCGUGCGGUCGAUACGGGCAUCACUGGAGUUCGGCAGGGGAGACUGGAAUUCCUGGUGUAGCGGUGAAUGCGCAGAUAUCAGGAGGAACACCGGUGGCGAAGGCGGGUCUCUGGGCCGAUACUGACGCUGAGGAGCGAAAGCGUGGGAGCGAACAGG